rnacentral:lncRNA from 1 species
CAUGGGGGCUCUAUGGGGUCAGUGUGGGGGCCAUGAGGAGUUAUGGGGUCGCUUUGGGGUCCGUACUGCCCCAUAUUGGCCCGUACUGGUCCAUACUGGUCCGUACUGGCCCAUACUGGUGUGUACUGGUCCAUACUGGCCGCUACUGGUUCUUACUGGUCCGUACUGGUGCGUGCCCGCAGAACAAGCACCCCAACCCCCACCUCAUCGCCCCCGUCCUGGAGGGAACCCGCGAGGAGCCCAAGGAGCUGCUGGAGUCGGAUGGGGACAGAGAGGAAGGAGCGGCCCCACAUGCAACCCCCACGGUGGGGGGGGAAAGCCCCCCAGGCGCGCGCUCGCCGUGGCUGUGGCCCUGCACGUCCUGCACCUUCCUCAACACGGCUCCCGCUGUGCUCUGCGCCGUCUGUGAGCGCCCGCGGCUGGGCCCACGGCCUCCCCCCCCCCCCCCAGGAAACGCCGC